UACAGAGGUCUCAAGCGUUGUUCGGAUUCAUUGGGCGUAAAGGGUGCGUAGGCGGCGCGGUAAGUCGGGUGUGAAAUCUCGGAGCUUAACUCCGAAACUGCAUUCGAUACUGCCGUGCUUGAGGACUGGAGAGGAGACUGGAAUUCCUGGUGUAGCGGUGAAAUGCGCAGAUAUCAGGAGGAACACCGGUGGCGAAGGCGGGUCUCUGGGCCGUAACUGACGCUGAGGAGCGAAAGCGUGGGGGGCGAACAGG
rnacentral:rRNA from 1 species